rnacentral:rRNA from 1 species
AGAGUUUGAUCCUGGCUCAGGACGAACGCUGGCGGCGCGCCUAACACAUGCAAGUCGAACGAGAGAUGAGGAGCUUGCUCUUCAAAUCGAGUGGCGAACGGGUGAGUAACGCGUGAGGAACCUGCCUCAAAGAGGGGGACAACAGUUGGAAACGACUGCUAAUACCGCAUAAGCCCACGGCUCGGCAUCGAGCAGAGGGAAAAGGAGCAAUCCGCUUUGAGAUGGCCUCGCGUCCGAUUAGCUAGUUGGUGAGGUAACGGCCCACCAAGGCGACGAUCGGUAGCCGGACUGAGAGGUUGAACGGCCACAUUGGGACUGAGACACGGCCCAGACUCCUACGGGAGGCAGCAGUGGGGAAUAUUGCACAAUGGGGGAAACCCUGAUGCAGCGACGCCGCGUGGAGGAAGAAGGUCUUCGGAUUGUAAACUCCUGUUGUUGAGGAAGAUAAUGACGGUACUCAACAAGGAAGUGACGGCUAACUACGUGCCAGCAGCCGCGGUAAAACGUAGGUCACAAGCGUUGUCCGGAAUUACUGGGUGUAAAGGGAGCGCAGGCGGGAAGACAAGUUGGAAGUGAAAUCCAUGGGCUCAACCCAUGAACUGCUUUCAAAACUGUUUUUCUUGAGUAGUGCAGAGGUAGGCGGAAUUCCCGGUGUAGCGGUGGAAUGCGUAGAUAUCGGGAGGAACACCAGUGGCGAAGGCGGCCUACUGGGCACCAACUGACGCUGAGGCUCGAAAGUGUGGGUAGCAAACAGGAUUAGAUACCCUGGUAGUCCACACCGUAAACGAUGAUUACUAGGUGUUGGAGGAUUGACCCCUUCAGUGCCGCAGUUAACACAAUAAGUAAUCCACCUGGGGAGUACGACCGCAAGGUUGAAACUCAAAGGAAUUGACGGGGGCCCGCACAAGCAGUGGAGUAUGUGGUUUAAUUCGACGCAACGCGAAGAACCUUACCAAGUCUUGACAUCCUGCGACGGUGCUGGAAACAGUACUUUCCUUCGGGACGCAGAGACAGGUGGUGCAUGGUUGUCGUCAGCUCGUGUCGUGAGAUGUUGGGUUAAGU